UUUUAUUCCAUUUUCCUCUAAGUCUGUUAUCUUCAAGGAUUUCUGUUAGAAUUGGUACCUGAAGAGAGUGAAUAAAUUUUUUACAUUUGCUGUAAUUUUUUUCAAAGCGUUAGUGCAUAACAAACCUACUACAAUAGAAAAUGUCUUUAAAGAAUAGUAGUUUGCUUGCAGACCGAGCAGCCCCUGAGGUAAGGCAGUCAAGGCUUCUGUCACAGCAAGAGAUGCUGCUGUAUUUACUGAAAUAUAGAUGAUCCUGUAAGAAACUUUUAACUAUUUAGGAUAAAUAAUUGCCUGUAAGCUGUUGUAAUGUGGUUUUAAGGACUGCUUUUCACAGCGCAGAGUCCCAAAGUACUGCAUUGUGACAGUAAUUCCGGGCAGAUUCGGAAUGGAUCGGCUCACCUUGGGAUUUGGAAUGUGUUGGUUGUGGAGAGCCUCUCUGAGCUCACGAGGAUGUUUUCUUGAUGGUUAUGGCUGCAGGGAUUCUCACUGCUUGGAAAACAUGAGGACGGGGACCAAGAAUCUUUUCGCUCAGUCUUCUGAGGAAAGUUUGGUUCGGGUACAAAAAGAAAGCAAGGAGAGGGGCAAGCUCCAUCCCAUCGCACAAAUGAUCUCUACGUGGAGCUGGAAGAGUAACAAGAGUUCAGAAAUUUAA
rnacentral:lncRNA from 1 species